UACAGGAGGGUGCAAGCGUUAAUCGGAAUUACUGGGCGUAAAGCGUGCGUAGACGGUUACAUAAGUCGGGUGUGAAAGCCCCGGGCUCAACCUGGGAAUUGCAUUCGAGACUGCGUAGCUAGGGUGCGGAAGAGGGAAGCGGAAUUUCCGGUGUAGCGGUGAAAUGCGUAGAUAUCGGAAGGAACACCAGUGGCGAAAGCGGCUUCCUGGUCCAGCACCGACGUCAGGCACGAAAGCGUGGGGAGCAAACAGG
rnacentral:rRNA from 1 species